ensembl:lncRNA
CAAUGGCUCUCGCAAGAUUUCUGGAUCACUGUAAAGCUACGUACACACAAAGUGCCAGAAUUUUCCUCACGGAUAAUGUAUCCAGUGAUGUCCUGAGACCAGUGCUUGUAAGACUGGAAACCCUUGAGAGAAGCAUAAGAUGGGCAAGAGGGAGGAUUCUCCAUCUUAAUGAUGCUGAUGGACUUCUCCCAUUUGUUAGCCAAUUUAUUCAACUUGUGAAAACAGCUUUGUCAACUGAAGAAGGUACCUUUGGGUAUCAAGCCCCACUGGUCCAGCAAGGUGAUUUUGGGCGACCCAGCUACCGUGUCACCAAAGAACAACUGAGAUUCCUGCUCUCAUAUGAAUUUACAGCUUCCCAGAUGUCUGAAGUCCUGGAAGUAUCAGUCAGUACAGUUAAACGGAGACAGAGGCGGUUUAACUUAUCUGAUAUCAUGAGGUAUGCACACCUUUCGGAGGCCGAACUUGAUGAAGUCGUUCGGCAGUUGGUUGGAGAAAAUGAACAAAUCGGAUCUAAUGCUGUUUGGGCCAGACUAGCUACUAUGGGUGUACGAGUUCAGCGGAGGAGAGUGAGAGAGAGUUUGAGUGAACCCGGCCGGAGCUGCACACAGAGCACUAUCUCAUCGACUGCACCGGAGAACCUACAGUGUUGCAGGUCCUGACUCUCUGUGGCACAUAGAUGGGAACCACAAGCUGAUCAGGUGGAGAGUAGUGAUCCAUGGGGGGAUCUGUGGCUUCAGCAGACUGGUUGUAUUUUUGCAAGCUUCCGACAACAACAGGGCUGGCACAGUGUUUGACCAGUUUGUUCAAGCCACAGCUAGGUAUGGGUUUCCAUCUCCAGUUAGAUGUGACCACGGAGGAGAAAACAAUACAGUUUGUUUGUUUAUGAAUAUCUAUCAUGGAUCUGAGAGAGGAAGAGAGAGACUUUGGGGAGAUCUUUGGCAGGGUAUGACUAAUGUGUACCACCAGUUUUCUCCUUUCUCGAGAGGGAUGGAGUCAUUGACGGUACCAACGAGCGACACGUGGGCACUGCAUCAUGUGUACAUUCCCCGGAUUAACCAGGACUUGGAGGUUUUCAGGGAACAGUGGAACAAUCAUGGAUUGCGCACUGCUGGUUACCACACACCAUAUCAGAUGUUUGUCAGAGGAUGUCUUCAGAGGCAAACAUCAUCACUCACUGCCACGGCAGAGAUUUUUGGACACAGACCUGCUCAAGAUGUUGCAAUUCCUGCUGUGGAUUGGCAGGAAGUUGUUACAGUUCCUGCUUACCAAUUCAGUCCAACCCAGGCACAGAUGCAACAACUGCAGGAUGUGGACAUUCUUGCAGGACCUGUUGGUAGUCCAGCUAUUGAUACACUGCAAUUAAUAUUCUGCAGCAGUAGCUUCUUGUCAAUUGGUUCUAUUGUAAUAGGGCUGUUCAA